UCUAAAUCUUUGUCAUCAGGUAGAUCAUUUUUUCCAAAAAUAGUCUGCCACCAUCUCCCAUCCUACAUGCCCUCCUUAGAAUCUGAUUUUGAUACGCUUCCCAUUAUGAGGUAGGUCCAUGUUCCUUCUUCUUAAAUCUGGGAGGUUUUGUUGCCAUGUGACUUCCAAGGGUAGGUCACAAAAGCUUCCAUGGUGUCUUGUUGAGAUGCUUGCUCUUGGAACUCAUCGCCAUGUUGUGAGGAAGCACAACAUGGCGAUGAGUUGAAAAAACUCAAGAGGAGAAGCUCCAAUGGAAAGGGAUGGAGACCCCACCCUCAGACCUUGCUGAAGUCCAGAUGACAGCCAGGGUGCACUUGCCAGCUACAUGAAUGAGACCGAGCCCACACAACCUCAUCACACAUUAUUGUUCUCAUUGCACAGUCAUCUUUAUGGCAAGAGAUCCAUAGAUGGUGGACCUUCUGGAUGGCCCACACUGGCCUGAGCUUUUGGUGUGUGACCUUACUGAUCCUCCAAUAAUCCUAAAAGUGGACAUGGCCAUCCCCAGCAAGGAGUCACAUGGGAGGGAAGCUGUCUAGGACACACCGGACUGACUCAUGUGGAGCCGAAGACUCUCCCAGCUGAGCCCUGCCCUAAUUCCACACCCAUGGGAUUGUGAGACACAAUAAACUGGUUGUUGUCUUAGGUCACUACAUUUGCGAUGUUUUGCUCUGCAACAAUAGGUAGAGCCUGAACAUGACCUUCAACAGCUCCAGACAGUCAGCUGAAAGGCUCUUGGUGGCCCCUGACUCUUCUCCCUAUAAUUCAAAAUGGGUUGGUAAUUAAAGAGAAAUAUGAUAUUGCUGCACCUGUUUUUCACUUCUGGCUUCCCACAGUGAGUAAACCCGAUCUUUUAUUGAUGAGAAGAGACGCACGCUGGAAAACCUCAGGGAGAACAUCAAAACCCCUCCAGCCUUCCCUUGAGAUGUUAAAUCCCAGCAGGGCUCCUGCCAGAGCUCUGCCUGGAAAUUCUGAUUUCUGCCUGGGUCUCUG